GUAGGGUCCAAGCGUUAAUCGGAAUUACUGGGCGUAAAGCGUGCGCAGGCGGUUGUGCAAGACCGAUGUGAAAUCCCCGGGCUUAACCUGGGAAUUGCAUUGGUGACUGCACGGCUAGAGUGUGUCAGAGGGGGGUAGAAUUCCACGUGUAGCAGUGAAAUGCGUAGAGAUGUGGAGGAAUACCGAUGGCGAAGGCAGCCCCCUGGGAUAACACUGACGCUCAUGCACGAAAGCGUGGGGGAGCAAACAGGAUUAGAUACCCUGGUAGUCCACGCCCUAAACGAUGUCAACUAGUUGUUGGGGAUUCAUUUCCCCUUAGUAACGUAGCUAACGCGUGAAGUUGACCGCCUGGGGAUACGGUCGCAAGAUUA
rnacentral:rRNA from 1 species